CUGGAAAUGAGCAGCGUUAACUGAGGUUAACCCAGCGUGGGAUCCGACCGGAUGGCGUACUUCGGAUUGGCUGAAUCUUACACAGGCAAAGCUUGCCCUACCCAGCAGCGGGCUCUUUGGCGAGGCUCAUUCUAGACUUUCCUGUGUCUACUUAGCUCUUGGGCUAUCUCACUCAUGCUGUGGGCCCACAGGACAGAACACCAGGACUGGUACGUAUCAUGCUAUACUUCAAAUGCCAUUUAGGUCAGAAAUUUGACCUAAGUGAAGUCAAGUAUGUGAAAUACACAGUGAACGGCUUUGGAAGCUUGAGAAGAGUCACUUUGAAUGAAAACAGAUGGUUGGCAGAUGUGACUAAACGCCAACUUGGACCGUCUAGAUACCCAUCAAGCUUAUCUUCUAAAUGUUAUUAAGCUUCAGUGGUGGGCUGGCUGCUCAUUUUUAUUAAAGGGAAGUUUUCAUUACUAAGCCAAUAUUUCACUGAACCUAACUUUCCGAAAG